GAUGAACGCUGGCGGCGUGCCUAAUACAUGCAAGUCGAGCGAACGGACGAGAAGCUUGCUUCUCUGAUGUUAGCGGCGGACGGGUGAGUAACACGUGGAUAACCUACCUAUAAGACUGGGAUAACUUCGGGAAACCGUAGCUAAUACCGGAUAAUAUUUUGAACCGCAUGGUUCAAAAGUGAAAGACGGUCUUGCUGUCACUUAUAGAUGGAUCCGCGCUGCAUUAGCUAGUUGGUAAGGUAACGGCUUACCAAGGCAACGAUGCAUAGCCGACCUGAGAGGGUGAUCGGCCACACUGGAACUGAGACACGGUCCAGACUCCUACGGGAGGCAGCAGUAGGGAAUCUUCCGCAAUGGGCGAAAGCCUGACGGAGCAACGCCGCGUGAGUGAUGAAGGUCUUCGGAUCGUAAAACUCUGUUAUUAGGGAAGAACAUAUGUGUAAGUAACUGUGCUCAUCUUGACGGUACCUAAUCAGAAAGCCACGGCUAACUACGUG
rnacentral:rRNA from 1 species